UGACGUCAUCAUCCAGCCGCCGUCGACGUGAAUGACAGGUCGCGGGAUUUGUCUGUCUGCUUGCUACCUUUUGAGACUCGUGAGGGAUAUUUCUACAAAGGACAGGUGUAAUUGGCUAUAUAUGAGAUGUAAAGAAAGAUCAGAAGGAAAGGAUCCAAGGGGAUGUAGACAAUAUUAUAGUCGAAAUACGCUAUAAAAAGGGAGAAGAAGAAGAGGUGUCUGUCUUCUGCUGCUGAUAGUUGGGAUGGCCGUGACCUGACAGUGAUUACGCAUCUGUAAGGCGAAGGACGUCGGAAAAUAUGUGUGGACUGCUGUUAAGCUCCCAGUUGGUUCUGUAAUUUUAGCAGUUAGCGACUGAAGCUAAGGGUAUCGUAGUUGCAUUUCAGGACGGGAUAAAUAUAUUGCCUCACUGUAGAUAGACUUUACAGUUAGCAGGGCAGUGAACUAAUGAACAGAUGCAGAGAUAAUUACGGAAAGGAAUAGAGCUCGUCAAGAAGGCCUGCAAAUUAGAAACUAUAAUGAACAAAACCAAAGGUAUGUAAAUCACAUCUAAACCCUGUAUUUUUUCCUCUUCUAUAAAAGAGAAUGAAAAAAAUUAAUGCAAAUAUUUGUUAAGAGGUGACAAAAUGUCCCAGGAGUACGCCCAGGAAUAUAUAUGUGUGUGUGUGUGUGUGUGUGUGUGU